rnacentral:tRNA from 1 species
UUUUAUUGAAAAAUUCUUUUCAAAAACUUGCGGAUCUCUAUCCUUCUUACCCAAUUUCCAGAUUGAUUAUUGUUUUUUUUUAUU